GAUGCCAAUAAAGUGGAUUCGUGUUUUUGUUUACGCAAUAAUAAUAUCAAAUUAUUUUAUACUCGCCAGAAUCGCAUGGUAUGAUGAAACGUAUUUUUCCAUUAAUAAUUUAGACAGAUACUAUGUAGGGUAAUUUAUUAGUUUAUACAUCCGAAAGCAACGAUACAUCAUUGAUAUCAAUAAACGACUCUGAUGAGAGGAGCUCGGUAAACCGUUAAGAUUGCAUUGUUAACCCAUAGUCGUUUUAUUUUCCUCUUGCAAUAGUCAAGAUAAUCCGGAAAUCGAUAAACAUCUAAUCGACGUCAUACGGUGUUAUUUUAAGGAAAAAUAGUUGACAAUUUCAAAAAAAAAAAAAACACGUUUAAAAUUACUGGACGAAAAAAUCGGACUAUUUCAACUAACCGAAAAAAUGUGUUUUCCAAGGGGGAGAAAUGUCACAUAUUAGUAAAACUAUUACUGUAAACAAAAAUAACUUUC